rnacentral:rRNA from 1 species
CCUACGGGGGGCAGCAGUGGGGAAUAUUGGACAAUGGGGGGAACCCUGAUCCAGCCAUGCCGCGUGUGUGAAGAAGGCCCUCGGGUUGUAAAGCACUUUCAGUGAGGAAGAACGCCUGGUGGUUAAUACCCAUCAGGAAAGACAUCACUCACAGAAGAAGCACCGGCUAACUCCGUGCCAGCAGCCGCGGUAAUACGGAGGGUGCGAGCGUUAAUCGGAACUACUGGGCGUAAAGCGCGCGUAGGUGGCUUGAUAAGCCGGUUGUGAAAGCCCCGGGCUCAACCUGGGAACGGCAUCCGGAACUGUCAAGCUAGAGUGCAGGAGAGGAAGGUAGAAUUCCCGGUGUAGCGGUGAAAUGCGUAGAGAUCGGGAGGAAUACCAGUGGCGAAGGCGGCCUUCUGGACUGACACUGACACUGAGGUGCGAAAGCGUGGGUAGCAAACAGGAUUAGAUACCCGUGUAGUC